rnacentral:tRNA from 1 species
GCCUGGGUGGCUCAGUCGGUUGAGCAUCUGACUUCAGCUCAGGUCAUGAUCUUGCAGUUUGUGGGUUUGAGCCCCACAUCGGGCU